GACGAACGCUGGCGGCGUGCCUAAUACAUGCAAGUAGAACGCUGAAGAGAGGAGCUUGCUCUUCUUGGAAGAGUUGCGAACGGGUGAGUAACGCGUAGGUAACCUGCCUUGUAGCGGGGGAUAACUAUUGGAAACGAUAGCUAAUACCGCAUAACAAUGGGUGACCCAUGUCAUUCAUUUGAAAGGGGCAACUGCUCCACUACAAGAUGGACCUGCGUUGUAUUAGCUAGUAGGUGAGGUAACGGCUCACCUAGGCGACGAUACAUAGCCGACCUGAGAGGGUGAUCGGCCACACUGGGACUGAGACACGGCCCAGACUCCUACGGGAGGCAGCAGUAGGGAAUCUUCGGCAAUGGGGGCAACCCUGACCGAGCAACGCCGCGUGAGUGAAGAAGGUUUUCGGAUCGUAAAGCUCUGUUGUAAGAGAAGAACGAGUGUGAGAGUGGAAAGUUCACACUGUGACGGUAACUUACCAGAAAGGGACGGCUAACUACGUGCCAGCAGCCGCGGUAAUACGUAGGUCCCGAGCGUUAUCCGGAUUUAUUGGGCGUAAAGCGAGCGCAGGCGGUUAGAUAAGUCUGAAGUUAAAGGCUGUGGCUUAACCAUAGUACGCUUUGGAAACUGUUUAACUUGAGUGCAGAAGGGGAGAGUGGAAUUCCAUGUGUAGCGGUGAAAUGCGUAGAUAUAUGGAGGAACACCGGUGGCGAAAGCGGCUCUCUGGUCUGUAACUGACGCUGAGGCUCGAAAGCGUGGGGAGCAAACAGG
rnacentral:rRNA from 1 species